CUCAUGCUUCCAUAAUAGUUCUGGGAUAAUUCUAAACACAAGCCAUUUUUCUAAGGAGAGUCCACAUUAGAGAGGUCUUUGUUUUGUAUUCAAGAUGAUUAAAAUUAUGAACUGGGAAGUUAGUCCCUGGGGUGUCCUGGCUGGCCUUUGGAAAUCUUCACUACAUCUUUCUGGGUUGGAAUUCUCACCACAGCCUGAACGUGGGGCUGUAUCUGAGCUGUCUCUGAGUGCUGUCCAUUUGAUAUAUCGAGUACUGGGUGUUUACCAGGGCUCUUCAAGCCACUGGGAGAAACAGCUAAAGAGUAACCUACUGAUUUGAGAUGUGGAUUUGUGCCCCAUCCCUUUCUCCUUGUUUCCCACAGGAGUUUUAUCUCAAACUCCUAAGCCAUUUUUAAGGAGAUCACUGGAACAAACUCCAAACCUACCCUCUAAUAGUCAAGUUUACCUGAAUUUUCUCAGUUCUCUCGGGAGAAGACUAAUCACACAUUGUAGUACCAACUUGGACUCUUCAUGUGCUUUUCUUAACUGAUUAGAGUUAACACCUCAGCUAAAGUGUAUAGAACAUACAUGGGGCUUCAUCAGGCUUCAGAAUCAGUUUCACUAGAUGUGCUAUGUAGGAGGCCACGGAAAAAUUACUGUAGUAGUAAAAGUUAUCAGUUCUGAUGUAAACAAUCAUUUUGUCCCAUAUUAUAAAUAAAUUGGCCUGAAAAUAUCUUUUCAUAUGUGAGGAAUAAGUAUAUGAUGCCUUUCUCCUUUAAAGUAUGAACUGCUAAAAGACAGGGAUAACGUGUAUUCUGUAUUCCAGCAGCCACAGUGUGUUUCUGGUCUUUGUACCAGGUGCUCAGGAAGUGUUUUCACUGGCUUGGGUUGACUACUUGCCAUCUGCUCUCUGAGCAUUCAUUUCUGAAUGAAAGGGGAGAAAGUGAAAGGAGAGGUGGGAAGAAAGAGGAAGCUGCAGAAAUACGAGGAAACAGCUGGAGGAGGGAGGUGAAGUUGAGGAGGUAAGGUCAGUAAAACAAAAAGCUAGCAGAGGGCAGGGUCAGGCCCUUGGGGUAGAGGGCUAAUUAACUUCUGUCAGCUAGUUGAAUAGAGCCUUGUGUGCUUUGUUAGAGACCAAAGGUACUUCAAAGGAAAAAAAUCUAGAUUCUUCCCUGUGUACCUUAAUAAUUGUUCAUCAGGUCAAAAUCUAUCCUGUCCUCUAGGAAUUCUGGUCUUCCCUCAGGCCUAGCAGAGAGCUUUCUGCCACUACUCAGGCAACCAAGGGUGAAGUGCUUCAAGUAGUAUUUGUGGACAGCAGCAGGUAAGCUUGAUGUGUUAUUCACAGCUUAAAGAGUAGAUGCUGAGUACAGCUGUUGUCCAUGUGUAGAGCUUUUAAUAACCAGCGCAGCAGGCCCCUUCACCUGCUUUUAUGCCUGGACCAGAUGACUGAAUGUAGAACUUUAGGCACUUUUUUUUUUUUUUGAGACGGAGUCUCGGUUUGUUGCCCAGGCUGGAGUGCAGUGGCGCAAUCUCGGCUCACUGCAAGCUCUGCCCCCCGGGUUCACGCCAUUCUCUUGCCUCAGCCUCCCAAGUAGCUGGGACUACAGACUCCCACCACCAUGCCCGGCUAAUUUUUAUAUUUUUUAGUAGAGACAGGGUUUCACCGUGUUAGCCAGGAUGGUCUCAAUCUCCUGACCUGGUGAUCCACCUGCCUUGGCCUCCCAAAGUGCUGGGAUUACAGGUGUGAGCCACCAGAUCGGCCCUUUAGGCACUUUCUACUUCUCAAGGUCAAGAAACAUCCUUUAAAAAGUUAAUUCCCUUUUCUGGAGCCUAAGCCAGAUCUUAUCUAGGCCUUGUGUUGCCAUCUGUUAGCAUUGAUUUCUGGAAUGGAGCAGCUUUCUCAAAGUUUGGUCUUGCUAGUCAUGAGGUCAUGUCAGUGUCUUAGGUCACUGCUGCUCACCUUCCUUACCCAGGGAGUAUACUGCAUAGGUUUCUGAACACCUGUUUUCAUUAUUCACUGUUCCUCUCACUGCCAAGAAUGGAGGGACCCUCAGUUGAAGAUCAAAUUGACUCUGAAGAAAAACUGGAGAUGUUUCUCUUGGAGUUUGGAUAGAGUAUUCACUUGAUAACAUGUUUUUCCCCUGCCUUGCUCUUCACAAGAACAUCUGGCCAGGCAUUAACAAUUAGUAAAUUUUUUUGCAUAUGAACAGUAUUUUUCUGGUCAUGUAGAUGGGUGCACAUGACACUAAACAGCAUUGUUUAGUGUUAUCCCUCUUAACUGGUGGGUUGUAUUUGGGGUGGAGGCUGUAGCCGAGGAGAAGACAUUCACCUCUGUACUCGAGAAACUUUGUGUAGGAAUUUAGUUUAUUUUUUUAUUUUUUUUAAUUUUUUAUUUUUUACUACUUUUACUGUUAGCACAAUGCUAUAAUUGAGCUAAUCUUUGUAGUUUGGUGCAGGACCACCAAGUUUGUGUGACCCAUUACCUACUUUUUCCAUGCUCAGCCAUUACCCUGUCCUGGGGCAUCUGAGGGCAGUAAGGAACAGGUGUCCAAAGGAGGAAUGUUGGUGCCUAUGAGUAUGUUUUCCAGUUGUAUUGAAUUUCUUACUUGGUGUAUUUUUGACUUGUCUUAGUUUCUUUCCUUGUGGUCUAUGCUAUUUUACUUGCGAUUUGUUGGAUAUUCUCCCUGUCAUUAAAGAGUUGUAAAAUGGAAGUUAGUUUCUCUAUGCAAAUGCUUUAAUGGAUGAAGCUGAUAGGUUUAGCAUUGAUUUUUGCUGGUGUCCUUCAACAAGCAUGAAGGUGAUAAAUGUGUUUCCAUGGCUUUAGACUCAUUUUUGAAGUCUUGGAUUGUGUGAACAUUCUUAGAAACAAUAAAAUGUUUUAAUUAAAAGCCCUCGACUACCAGCUGAAUUCAGUGUCUACUAGGAAAAUGGGUAGAUUUGUUACAUUGUCCCUUUGCUCUCUAUGACUUUGUUCCAGUUGUCAAGGAACUUAAAUGGGUAUUCAGGAAAAAGAAUUCUUGUUUCCCUUUCCUCACCUUGCCAGUUAAAUAACUCCUGGUGACACUUCAGGUGGUAGAAUUGAAACACAAACCUGACUUCUGACCACAUGGGUCAAAGGCAAAAGGCAAAUGGCUUCAAAGCCCUUAGUGUGCUUAUCCAGUUCAGGCAGUGAGGAGAUAACCUCUGCUUUCCUCCCUGAGGAGUUUGGAGUAUUUAAGGGGGGAUGGGGGGGGUGUCACUUUGAAAAUAUGUUGCUUUUUCUCCUGAUUGUAUUGAGGCUGAUAUGGAAGGGUUAUUUCUUUCUGGCCAAUACUUUUUGGUAUUUCUAAAUAUUGCAAUCUUGAUUUUUACUAUUAAAUUUGUUAAUUGUCAGUUCUGGCUUUUUUGCAUAAAGAGUUGGUCCAUUAACUUGCCAAUUUGAAGCUUCUAACUAGAUAUUCCCUACUGAAAGUUUUGGAUUUGUUUUUAGUUUGUGGAGCAGUCUUAGCUGGGGACAGGUAAUUGACAACGGCAGAGAUACUUUCUUUUCCUAGGAUUCUAAGUCUGUAAUCCACAUCCUCAAUGUAUUCACAGGACUUUAAAAUUCUCUCCAAAUGAGGAAGGAAAUAUCCUGUUGCUUUCUAAUGUUUACUAAAAGUUGUGUUUAGAACAACAGAUUUUAAUAGGCAUCUUCCUUUGUUAUGUGUCAUUAGCCCUUUGCCCGUUUACCUUAGGGCUCUUUGAAGGAGAAAUGGAUGGGAGAAAACCUGUCACUUGGCGAAAGUAAAAGGGAUAAUUAACUGGCUCAGAGCUUAUGUGCAGAGUUCCAAGCCCCAAAGUUAAUCUAGAACCACUCGAUAACACCAAUAAAAAUAUUUAUUUCACAUCUGUUAUAUAUCUGGAAAAUGUUCUAAGCAUCUUACACAUAUUUCUCAUUAAAUCCACAGGUGACCAUUGUGAGGUAGAUAUUUUGUUCUAAUUUUCCAGAUGAGGAAGCUGAGACCCUAAAAGGCUGACCGGUUCCCUGAUGUGUUACCUGCUUCUGCUACUGAUCCAAACUGCAGAACUUCUCAUUCAUCCCCAAGGCCUCCAGGCAGUAUCCAAUGGGGAAUCAGCUCUAAAAGGAACCAGACCAACGUUUUCCAGCCCCUUCAUUCUGGUGACUGAGGGGAGGAAAGAAUGGGAGGGGGUAUUCUUGUCUAGUGGAUGGAAAGGAAACACACUGUCAAAUUACUAUAUCUCCUUGGUUUUCUAUUACAGUAGAAUUCUCCAGCCAUAUUUUUAUUGUCUAUGGGGGAAGUUGGAGAUGGUGACCUUGAUUAGAAGUGUCUGGAGGGGGAUAAAUGGAGGGGAUAAGAUUCAGUUGGUUUUGGAAAAUGUUAAAGUCUUAAAAUAAUGCGUCCAUCUGAAGAAUUUUUUCUAAAACCAGAGUUUAUAAAAAUAUCACUGAUACAGCCUGCCCCCUCAUUUCCCUGCCACAGGAGAUGUCUUGGACUAGAGACACUUGUUUAAUAAUAGCUUGUCUCUGAUAUUCCCAGUAGCUUCCCUCUGUGUGAGGAAAGGAUAGAAAUGUUCAGGACAUCAUCAUACAGGCUCCUCAUCUACAAAGUUCCAGUAGCAGUGACGCCUACACGGAAGACUUGGAACUGCAAACAGGCUGGGGUCACCUCAGUGACAUCUGACGCUGUCCAACCAGAAGUUCGAUUUUUGUUCUGGGGGUGAAGGAGGAAACAGACUGUACUAAAGGACUAAAAUAAUUUGUCU
rnacentral:lncRNA from 1 species